rnacentral:rRNA from 1 species
GAUGAACGCUGGCGGCGUGCCUAAUACAUGCAAGUCGAGCGAACAGAUGAGGAGCUUGCUCCUCUGACGUUAGCGGCGGACGGGUGAGUAACACGUGGAUAACCUACCUAUAAGACUGGGAUAACUUCGGGAAACCGGAGCUAAUACCGGAUAAUAUAUUGAACCGCAUGGUUCAAUAGUGAAAGACGGUUUUGCUGUCACUUAUAGAUGGAUCCGCGCCGCAUUAGCUAGUUGGUAAGGUAACGGCUUACCAAGGCAACGAUGCGUAGCCGACCUGAGAGGGUUGUUCGCCCAAACGGAACCUAGGACAGGUCCCGAACUCUAAGGGGAGGCAGCAUAAGGGAAUCUUCGGCAAUGGGCGAAAGCCUAAGGAGGCAAGGCGAGGGAGGUAAUAAGGGUCUUCGAUUCGUAAAACUCGUUAAUAAGGAAGGAAAAAAUGUUAAAUUACCAAUGCCGUUCUGACGGUAACCAAAUCGGAAAGCAACGGCAAACUGCUG